rnacentral:rRNA from 1 species
AGGCAGCAGUUAGGAAUUUUGGGCAAUGGGCGAAAGCCUGACCCAGCAACGUCGCGUGAGGGAUGAAGUAUUUCGGUAUGUAAACCUCGAAAGAAUGGGAAGAAUAAAUGACGGUACCAUUUAUAAGCUCCGGCUAACUACGUGCCAGCAGCCGCGGUAAUACGUAGGGAGCAAGCGUUGUUCGGAUUUACUGGGCGUAAAGGGCGCGUAGGCGGCGCGGUAAGUCACUUGUGAAAUCUCUGAGCUUAACUCAGAACGGCCAAGUGAUACUGCUGUGCUAGAGUGCGGAAGAGGCAACCGGAAUUCUUGGUGUAGCGGUGAAAUGCGUAGAUAUCAAGAGGAACACCUGAGGCGAAGGCGGGUUGCUGGGCCGACACUGACGCUGAUGCGCGAAAGCCAGGGGAGCAAACAGGAUUAGAUACCCCGGUAG